CAUCCUCCAAGGCUAAAUACUCCUGACUGACCGAUAGUGAACCAGUACCGUGAGGGAAAGGCGAAAAGAACCCCGGCGAGGGGAGUGAAAAAGAACCUGAAACCGUGUACGUACAAGCAGUGGGAGCACCCUUUUGGGUGUGACUGCGUACCUUUUGUAUAAUGGGUCAGCGACUUAUAUUCUGUAGCAAGGUUAACCGCAUAGGGGAGCCGGAGGGAAACCGAGUCUUAACCGGGCGUUAAGUUGCAGGGUAUAGACCCGAAACCCGGUGAUCUAGCCAUGGGCAGGUUGAAGGUUGGGUAACACUAACUGGAGGACCGAACCGAC
rnacentral:rRNA from 1 species